rnacentral:rRNA from 1 species
AGAGUUUGAUCCUGGCUCAGGAUGAACGCUGGCGGCGUGCCUGAGAUAUGCAAGUCGAACGGGAGAUACCGUCUGGUAUCUUCAGUGGCGGACGGCUGAGUAACGCGUAGGAAUCUACCCCUGCCUCAGGAAUAGCUAACCGAAAGGUUGGGUAAUACCUGAUAGUCCAGAUACCGUACGGUAUCUGGUAAAGAAAUUAACUUUUCGGGCAAGGAUGAGCCUGCGUCCUAUCAGAUAGUUGGUAGGGUAACGGCCUACCAAGUCGAUGACGGGUAGCUGGCCUGAGAGGGUGGUCAGCCAGAGGAGCACUGAGACACGGGCUCCACUCCUACGGGAGGCAGCAAUCAGGAAUAGUCGGCAAUGGGCGAAAGCCUGACCGCGCGACGCCGUGUGCAGGAAGAAGGCCUUCGGGCUGUAAACUGCUGUGGUAAGGGAGGAAGUCCCGACUAAGUCGGGGUUGACAGUACCUUACUAGAAAGGGGCCGCUAACUGCGUGCCAGAAGCGUCGGUAAUACGUGGGCCCCAAACGUUAUCCGGUUUUACUGGGCGUAAAGGGUCGUGUAGGCGCCUAUUUAAGUUUUUACUUAAAUUCUAAGGCUCAACCUUAGAAAAGGUAAAAAUACUAAAUAGGUAGAAUUUUCUUUAGGGGGACUGGAACUCAGAGAGGAGUAGUGAAAUGCGUUGAUACUCUGAGGAACACCAGUGGCGAAGGCGAGUCUCUGGAAGAAAAUUGACGCUGAGACACGAAAGCUAGGGGAGCGAAGCAGAUUAGAGACCUGCGUAGUCUUAGCUGUAAACGCAUAUCUGCUAGCUGCAUUUUUUUGACUUUAUGUCGAAAAGGUGUGGCGAAGGUAACCCGUUAAGCAGAUCGCCUGGGGAGUACGACCGCAAGGUUAAAACUCAAAGGAAUUGGCGGGGAGGCACACAACCAGUGGAACAUGUGGUUCAAUUCGAAACAAACCGAAGAACCUUACCAAGGUUUGACAUCCCGACGUUCUAUCCCGACGAAAGUCGGGAAAGGCGCAAGCAGGUCGGGACAGGUGCUGCAUGGCUGUCGUCAGCUCGUUCCGUGAGGAGUGCCCUUAAGUGGGACAACGAGCGCAACCCCCAUUCUGUGUUAAAUCUAUCACAGAAGACGGUCCUGACUUAGUCGGGAAGGAAGGAGGGGCAGACGUCAAGUCAGCAUGGUCCUUAUACCUUGGGCUACACACAUGUUACAAUGGGUGAAACAACGGGCUUUGCUAGCCGGUAACGGUAAGCAAAUCCCUAAAAUACACUCUCAGUGGGGAUUGAGGUCUGCAACUCGACCUCAUGAACGCGGAAUUGGUAGUAAUCGCGGAUCAGCCAUGCCGCGGUGAAUACGUUCUUGCCUCUUGCACACACCGCCCGUCAAGCCAACAAAGUUGGGGAUAUUUGAACCCGCCGCUUCGGCGGGGAGAAUAUCUUCGGCGAUGGGGGUUAAGUCGUAACAAGGUAACC